AUUCACAACAGGGAAAUGACGCUAAUUGUUUAAAUAUCCAAAAUAUAUUCUCUAGAUACUGAAGUAUUUGACAUGUAACGUAGGUAAAGGUUAAAACGGUAACCUUCACAAAUUUCAUAAAUAUAUUGAUGCCGUCAUCCACCUUCAAAGUUAACGGUUCAAUUACGAUUAUAUUUAUCUAUGUCAGCAGCUUUUGUUUAUGUGCUCAUUAUCACUCAUUCAUGCCAGCAAUACUCAUCAACCUAGAACCUACAUCCGUAAGCCGCCAUCUGGAGCGGAAUAGUCCAAACGCCAACAUGAAGAGAGUUAGAGUCCAACAACGUCAAAACAAGCGUUUCAGUUCCUUCGCUUAGAUCACAAAAUAUCCCCCCAAAAGGGGGUAUGUUAUGUGGCUUAGAUAGCAGAUCAGACUGAUCAACAGAGUAUAAGAAGAUACUGAGGGACACGGAAGAAGCCUCCACACUUAUUGUUUUUUAGGUGGAAAUGUGAAACCCUGGAAACGACCGAUGUCGGCUAAUCCUUCCACCACCUGAACACCAUCCACAUAACACUCACCCAGCAUUCUGCCGGAAAGGCUUUUUCAAUGCCAAUUUUAUCGAGCCAGACAAUAAAAGAUCCUCCACAUCCUCAACCUGUGAGAACGACAUAGAAAUUAUCAUAGAUGAAGACAAGUGGAUAUUAUCACAGUUGAGUCUGGUUUAUGCACAUCAUUCUAAAAGCCACCAGCCGUAUAUUUUGCUUAAGAAACUAGCAAUUUUCACUCCAAACUGCUGAAGUUUGUGAUGAGCGAUUUUAACUGCAACACCUCUGCCUGAAGAUAUGCGGAAACAGACGCGAAUAGGCAAGAGUUGGAACAUUGAUGGGGAAAUAAUGAAUCUGAGGCAUUCAAAUCUUGAAUGCUUCAGAUUCAAGAUCUUGGAAGUGCUUCUUUGUCUCACGACAUUGGCGUUGGUUACAGAAACCAGCAAUGAAGCGUCUAUAAAUUAUAAAGGAAUGUAAUGUUUUUAUCAAUCAGUAGAUCAACAUGAAAGAAAGUGUUAUAUUUUAAAAAAUUUCAAAUUUCCAAGGUUUUUUGGAAUUAACUGUUUCAAAAAAACUACUAGUAGUUUUGAAACUAAUGCUAGAAAUCAACUAUCAAUGAAAUUAUACAAUUUGAUCCAAAUUGCCAGCAAAUUAUCUUUACUCUGAAUUUUCUCCAAAUAAAUGUUUGGGUAUAGGA